rnacentral:rRNA from 1 species
GAUGAACGCUGGUGGCGUGCCUAACACAUGCAAGUCGAGCGAUUCUCUUCGGAGAAGAGCGGCGGACGGGUGAGUAACGCGUGGGUAACCUGCCCUGUACACACGGAUAACAUACCGAAAGGUAUGCUAAUACGAGAUAAUAUGCUUUUAUCGCAUGGUAGAAGUAUCAAAGCUUUUGCGGUACAGGAUGGACCCGCGUCUGAUUAGCUAGUUGGUAAGGUAACGGCUUACCAAGGCGACGAUCAGUAGCCGACCUGAGAGGGUGAUCGGCCACAUUGGAACUGAGACACGGUCCAAACUCCUACGGGAGGCAGCAGUGGGGAAUAUUGCACAAUGGGCGAAAGCCUGAUGCAGCAACGCCGCGUGAACGAUGAAGGCCUUCGGGUCGUAAAGCUCUGUCCCCAAGGAAGAUAAUGACGGUACUUGAGGAGGAAGCCCCGGCUAACUACGUGCCAGCAGCCGCGGUAA